rnacentral:rRNA from 2 species
GACGAACCGUCCUAACGUUGUUCGGAAUCACUGGGCUUAAAGGGCGCGUAGGCGGGUUGCCAAGUCCGGGGUGAAAUCUUUCGGCCCAACCGGAAAACUGCCUUGGAUACUGGCGACCUCGAGGGAGGUAGGGGCCUGUGGAACUUCUGGUGGAGCGGUGAAAUGCGUUGAUAUCAGAAGGAACGCCGGUGGCGAAAGCGACGGGCUGGACCUUUACUGACGCUGAGGCGCGAAAGCUAGGGGAGCAAACGGG